GAUGAACGCUGGCGGCGUGCCUAAUACAUGCAAGUCGAGCGAACAGACGAGGAGCUUGCUCCUCUGACGUUAGCGGCGGACGGGUGAGUAACACGUGGAUAACCUACCUAUAAUACUGGGAUAACUUCGGGAAACCGGAGCUAAUACCGGAUAAUAUAUUGAACCGCAUGGUUCAAUAGUGAAAGACGGUUUUGCUGUCACUUAUAGAUGGAUCCGCGCCGUAUUAGCUAGUUGGUAAGGUAACGGCUUACCAAGGCGACGAUGCGUAGCCGACCUGAGAGGGUGAUAGGCCACACUGGAACGGAGACACGGUCAAGACUCCUACGGGAGGCAGCAGUAGGGAAUCUUCCGCAAUGGGCGAAAGCCUGACGGAGCAACGCCGCGUGAGUGAUGAAGGUCUUCGGAUCGUAAAACUCUGUUAUUAGGGAAGAACAAAUGUGUAAGUAACUAUGCACGUCUUGACGGUACCUAAUCAGAAAGCCACGGCUAACUACGUG
rnacentral:rRNA from 1 species